rnacentral:rRNA from 1 species
GGCCUUGACAUACUAAGAACUUUCCAGAGAUGGAUUGGUGCCUUCGGGAACUUAGAUACAGGUGCUGCAUGGCUGUCGUCAGCUCGUGUCGUGAGAUGUUGGGUUAAGUCCCGCAACGAGCGCAACCCUUUUCCUUAUUUGCCAGCGGGUCAUGCCGGGAACUUUUAAGGAUACUGCCAGUGACAAACUGGAGGAAGGCGGGGACGACGUCAAGUCAUCAUGGCCCUUACGGCCAGGGCUACACACGUGCUACAAUGGUCGGUACAAAGGGUUGCUACCUCGCGAGAGGAUGCUAAUCUCAAAAAGCCGAUCGUAGUCCGGAUCGCAGUCUGCAACUCGACUGCGUGAAGUCGGAAUCGCUAGUAAUCGCGGAUCAGAAUGCCGCGGUGAAUACGUUCCCGGGCCUUGUACACACCGCCCGUCACACCAUGGGAGUUUGUUGCACCAGAAGUAGGUAGUCUAACCGCAAGGAGGACGCUUACCACGGUGUGGCCGAUGACUGGGGUGAAGUCGUAACAAGGUAGGCGUAGAUGA